GAUGAACGCUGGCGGCGUGCCUAAUACAUGCAAGUCGAGCGAACAGACGAGGAGCUUGCUCCUCUGACGUUAGCGGCGGACGGGUGAGCAACACGUGGAUAACCUACCUAUAAGACUGGGAUAACUUCGGGAAACCGGAGCUAAUACCGGAUAAUAUAUUGAACCGCAUGGUUCAAUAGUGAAAGACGGUUUUGCUGUCACUUAUAGAUGGAUCCGCGCCGCAUUAGCUAGUUGGUAAGGUAACGGCUUACCAAGGCAACGAUGCGUAGCCGACCUGAGGGGGUGAUCGGCCACACUGGAACUGAGACACGGUCCAGACUCCUACGGGAGGCAGCAGUAGGGAAUCUUCCGCAAUGGGCGAAAGCUUGACGGAGCAACGCCGCGUGAGUGAUGAAGGUCUUCGGAUCGUAAAACUCUGUUAUUAGGGAAGAGCAAAUGUGUAAGUAACUAUGCACGUCUUGACGGUACCUAAUCAGAAAGCCACGGCUAACUACGUG
rnacentral:rRNA from 1 species